UCAGGAGUGAAGCAUCUUUCUUCUCUUCUGGAGGAUCCCAACUGUAAACUGAAGACACUAGACCUGCGGCACUGCAGUAUUGGAGAAGAAGGCUUCAGAGCUCUUGCAUCAGCACUGAAAUCAAACCCCUCACACAUGAGAGGGCUGUGGCUGGGUAGUAAUAAUGCAGGAGACUCAGGAGUGAAGCAUCUUUCUUCUCUUCUGGAGGAUCCCAACUGUAAUCUGCAAUAUCUACGCCUGAUGGACAACAAUAUAACAGAUGAAGGUUUCAGAGCUCUAGCAUCAGCACUGAGAUCAAACCCAUCAGCCG